UACGAAGGGGGCUAGCAUUGUUCGGAAUCACUGUGCGUAAAGCGCACGCAGGCGGGUCGAUCAGUCGGGGGUGAAAGCCCGGGGCUCAACCUCGGAAUUGCCUUCGAUACUGUCGGUCUCGAGUCCGGGAGAGGUGAGUGGAAUUCCUAGUGUAGAGGUGAAAUUCGUAGAUAUUAGGAAGAACACCAGUGGCGAAGGCGGCUCACUGGCCCGGUACUGACGCUCAGGUGCGAAAGCGUGGGGAGCAAACAGG
rnacentral:rRNA from 1 species